CAGAGGGUGCAAGCGUUAAUCGGAAUUACUGGGCGUAAAGCGCGCGUAGGUGGUUUGUUAAGUUGAAUGUGAAAUCCCCGGGCUCAACCUGGGAACUGCAUCCAAAACUGGCAAGCUAGAGUAUGGUAGAGGGUAGUGGAAUUUCCUGUGUAGCGGUGAAAUGCGUAGAUAUAGGAAGGAACACCAGUGGCGAAGGCGACUACCUGGACUGAUACUGACACUGAGGUGCGAAAAGCGUGGGGAGCAAACAGGAUU
rnacentral:rRNA from 1 species